rnacentral:lncRNA from 1 species
CCCUGCGCCGCCAUUGACCACAGCACAUUCGGACAGGGGGUCAGCGCGGAUUCAUACCCAGCAAGAGAGGGAGAAAAGAUCGUGCGUUUCUAUUCACGGGGGCCUGGGGAAGUUGGAAGCGAACCUCCCACCGCUGGCUCGGAGAGGUGGUGGUGAUGGGGGGUGCUAACCGUAGAAGCUUCCGCUCUUGAUGGCGUCGGCGUUGGCGUCGCCGAGGGCGGCCUCGCUGAGGUACUUGUCCGCGAGCUGCACUCUCUUCACGUUCUCCUGCUCCUUCACCAGCAUGUUGCCGUACUCCAGCAGCUUCUCCAGGGUCAUGGUCGGCUUCUCGAAGGUCGGCGGCCCGUCCCGGGAGUUGACCAGCUUCUUCCCCACGUUCUCAAUCCCAAUGUCAACGAUCCACUUCCUCACCUCGUCGUCGUACACCCUGGCCCUCAGCGCCCCGAAGAAGUCUGCGCCACAGGAGCACCCACCGUCAGAGUCG